AUGCAUGUCUGGUUGAGUAGCAAGCACUGUGGCUGAAAUUUGAAAUCCAGGCUUAAAUGUGCCUCAUUCAUACUGGCAUAACUACUAUUAAAGUUAAGAAGAAUAUAAAUGGAGAAAUCAACUUAAACAAAGGUCAGACAAGAAGAGUGAGUAGUUGCUGAUGCCUGAAAAUAUUUUUGCAAAAGAGAAGAGGAUCUCUUAUGCUACAAUCAUUUCCAGUCUACUGCAAAAAUUUAUGCAAACAAUAUUCAUCACAUGCCGGAAGAAAAGAAGUGAUGUAGUCCUGAUAACAAGGUAUAUGUAACUGAAGACAUCAUCCACAAUCUUACUCUCUGCUCCAAUGUUUGGGAUUAUAAUAAAGAACAUACAUUGGCCCUUGGUGUAGCAUAUAACCCUGAACUUCAAUUUUCUUUCCCUCAGCUCAGGAAAACUGUCACUGCUUUUCUCUUGUCCUCUAAUUCAGUACCACAGAUCAGCAACUACUCUGAGGAAGAAAGCAAUUAAAGAGGAAUUCAGUGCCAAGCCAUGAGUACACGCAGCCCUGUGAAAAGAUCAAGUAGUGAGAAACUGAGUCCUUCUACCAAUAGUCAGUGAGAAAUUGAGGUAUCCUGUCAACAGUCACAUGAGUGAGUCAUUUUGAAAUGGAUUUUCCAUCGCCAGUCAAGCCUAUGGAUGACUGAAGUCUGAGCUUAUAGCAUGACUGCAAACUCUUGAGACUCAAAGCCAUAAUCAUUCAGUUAAGCUGCUUCUGCAUUCUUGACCGUCAACCACUG
rnacentral:lncRNA from 1 species